UAAGCGGAGGAAAAGAAACUAACAAGGAUUCCCCUAGUAACUGCGAGUGAAGCGGGAAAAGCUCAAAUUUGAAAUCUGGCAGUCUUUGAUUGUCCGAGUUGUAAUCUAGAGAAGUGUUACCCGCGUUGGACCGUGUACAAGUCUCCUGGAAUGGAGCGUCAUAGAGGGUGAGAAUCCCGUCUUUGACACGGACUGCCAGGGCUUUGUGGUGCGCUCUCAAAGAGUCGAGUUGUUUGGGAAUGCAGCUCAAAAUGGGUGGUAAAUGCCAUCUAAAGCUAAAUAUUGGCGAGAGACCGAUAGCGAACAAGUACCGUGAGGGAAAGAUGAAAAGAACUUUGGAAAGAGAGUUAAACAGUACGUGAAAUUGCUGAAAGGGAAACGCUUGAAGUCAGUCACGUUGGCUGGGAAUCAACCUUACUUUUGUUGGGUGUACUUUCUAGUUGACGGGUCAGCAUCAGUUUCGACCAGUGGAUAAAGGCGUAGGAAAUGUGGCAUCUUCGGAUGUGUUAUAGUCCUGCGUUGUAUACAUUGGUUGGGACUGAGGAACUCAGCACGCCGCAAGGCCGGGGUUCGCCCACGUUCGUGCUUAGGAUGCUGGCAUAAUGGCUUUAAUCGACCCGUCUUGAAACACGGACCAAGGAGUCUAACAUGCCUGCGAGUGUUUGGGUGGAAAACCCGAGCGCGUAAUGAAAGUGAAAGUUGAGAUCCCUGUCGUGGGGAGCAUCGACGCCCGGACCAGACCUUUUGUGACGGAUCCGCGGUAGAGCAUGUAUGUUGGGACCCGAAAGAUGGUGAACUAUGCCUGAAUAGGGUGAAGCCAGAGGAAACUCUGGUGGAGGCUCGUAGCGAUUCUGACGUGCAAAUCGAUCGUCAAAUUUGGGUAUAGGGGCGAAAGACUAAUCGAACCAUCUAGUAGC
rnacentral:rRNA from 1 species